GCCAUUUUGAAGAGGGGCAAAGGCCGAGGGAAUGGACCCGUUGGUAUGGAGGGGAGGGGGAGCUGGACUCCCUGUCUGUCAGCAGCCUCCUGCCACCCCAGGGCUCAGUAUAGCCCCCGAGUGAUGCUGUUGGCGUGAAGGAGUGGUAUGGCCUGUGUGUCUACCAAGAGCCAUGGGGGCCAUUUCGUGUUACCUCACAGUAACUCACUUGGGCCGUGGUGAGUGAAGGUGCCAGUAACGAGGCUGGAGAUAGCCAGCGUUUCCCAACUCUUAAGGAAAAAAACGUCAUCAAGGCUGUUGUUAACGACAUUCACCCUCCUCGCCUUGCUAGUAGGGUUUCCUUCUCACACUGGCUACACUACCCCAGUGUUGUGUGCUGAAGAUGAGUCAUGCUGCAGAAAAGCCAGAUGUUCCUAUUUGACAGUGGUCAGUGCAUCUCCCUUGUGGCAGGUUGGCAAAGGAGCAGGAUCAAGAAUCAAUAAGGUGCAGAGGGAAAAAAAACUGUGACUGAAAAGAUAGAGGAGAGAGACAUGGCUGUGAGUGCUGCUGGGAUCCCACAGCUGCUCUGUGGCAAGGAACAGAGGAGGUCUUCCCAGGGGCUGGGCAGCACACCUCUGUGAGAAACAUCGAAGAAGCACAGUUCAUUGAGAAAGAAGAGGUUAGUGGAUGUUUCACACGCAGCCUCAGGGAGUGUGCAUGAGAGAUUUAACAGUAAAGCCUUUAUCUGGCUAAGUGAUGUUUGAUAGCUGGGUAUCAACACUCCGUUGCUGUAUAUACACUAGAAGAUUUUUAGCAUUGGAGUAAGUUGUCCUCUGAAACAGCUCACCAGCAAUUUGCCUGCUAUGGCAGUGUCCAUCAUGGAAAAUAUUUAACAAUAUGUGUGCACUCUCAGGUGCAUGAAAGGGCCAUUCCCAGUCCUCUCACCUCCAUUUUUAGAUGUAGGCAGUGUUCAUCACUGGCUACAGCUUUUCAACGCUUUGUUUCACCUUGUCAGCAUGAGCCAUAGCUGCUCUGAGCAACACAACGUGUGGGGCAAUCAGCAUUUGCAAAAAAAAACCAAACCAAACCAAACCAAACCAAACC